rnacentral:lncRNA from 1 species
UCGUCCGGAAUUUGUUUGAUCCGUGUCACCAUUGAUCAUUUCUUCUUCUUCUUCUUCUUCUCUCUCUCUCCCCUGCGAGGAAAGAGAGGUUUUUUAGCUAGGUAGCGAGUUCUUCUCGGAACGAAGGAAUAGCGAGCUUAGCGACUUACAGGCGCGGUGGUUUCCUCACUUUCGCUUUCUCGAGGAAGAGGAAGAGCGAGCGAGCGAGCGCGAGAGCGUUUUGGUCUCCUUCUUCUUCUUCGUGGUGGUGGUGUUCAUAACUUCGUGAAUCGUAUCGAUCGAUCGAGCGAAGCGAGCAAAUGGGGAGGCGGGUGAAGCGGUCCAAUGGAGCUGCCAGCAGCACCGCGCAAGAUCUGGGUAGCGAGAGCAGCAGCGGCAUCGUCAGUAGCAAGGAAGGGGGAGGCCAAGUUUUGAGCCUACCUUCGACUUCCUCUUCCUCUUCUUCGCAGAUUCAUGUCCUGGCCGUGGACGAUAGCCUUGUGGAUCGGACCGUCAUCGAGAGGCUGCUCAAGACGUCCUCUUCGUCGUUCAAAGGUAAGACAGAUAGUCUUCGAAUCUGGGCGAUGAAUUUCUCGAUUGAAAUCGCUUGCUUGUUUGCUCUUCUUGC